rnacentral:tRNA from 1 species
GUUCCGCUAACUCAGCGGCCAGAGUGCCUCCCUGUCUAGGAGGAAGUCAGGGGUUCGACUCCCCUGCGGAACGCCA